UGAAGUGUCCUCAAGAGUGUGCAACAAUGU
rnacentral:piRNA from 1 species